UACGGAGGUCUCGAGCGUUGUUCGGAUUCAUUGGGCGUAAAGGGUGCGUAGGUGGCGACGUAAGUCUGGUGUGAAAUUUCGGGGCUCAACCUCGAAACUGCAUUGGAUACUGCGUUGCUAGAGGAUUGUAGAGGAGAGUGGAAUUCACGGUGUAGCAGUGAAAUGCGUAGAUAUCGUGAGGAAGACCAGUUGCGAAGGCGACUCUCUGGGCAAUUCCUGACACUGAGGCACGAAGGCUAGGGGAGCAAACGGG
rnacentral:rRNA from 1 species